AUUGAACGCUGGCGGCAGGCCUAACACAUGCAAGUCGAGCGGAUGAAGGGAGCUUGCUCCUGGAUUCAGCGGCGGACGGGUGAGUAAUGCCUAGGAAUCUGCCUGGUAGUGGGGGAUAACGUCCGGAAACGGGCGCUAAUACCGCAUACGGCCUGAGGGUGAAAGUGGGGGAUCUUCGGACCUCACGCUAUCAGAUGAGCCUGGGUCGGAUUAGCUAGUUGGUGGGGGAAAGGCCUAGCAAGGCGACGAUCCGUAACUGGUCUGAGAGGAUGAUCAGUCACACUGGAAGUGAGACGCGAGUCAGGCUCCUCCGCGCGGCACCGGUGGCGAAGGGUGGCCAAUGGGGGAAAGCUUGCUCCAGCCGUGCCGCGUGUGUGGAGAAGCUCUUCGUGGUGUAAAGCACCCUUCGUGGGGUGGACUGGCAGUGCUAGGGGACCUGCCUGUUUUGACGGUACCAAGAUAAUAAGCACCGGCUAACUUCGUG
rnacentral:rRNA from 1 species